UAAGUACUCCCUCAGUCUGGAAAUACUUGUCGUAGUAAUGGAUGUAUCUAGAUGUAUUUUUGUUUUAGAUACAUCCAUUUGUAUCCAUUUUGUGAUAAGUAAUUCCAGACGGAGGGAGUAGUUU
rfam:Hordeum vulgare subsp. vulgare, WGS project CAJW01000000 data, contig: morex_contig_1585531